UGAGACUGGAAGGGAUCUGUCCUUCUUUCCCUCCUGGACUUUUAUUUGGAGGAGAGAAGAGAUCUGAUCCAUUGUAAAUACUAUAUGUCAUGGUAGAGAUAGUUGUGAUUGUGUGUAUAAUGUGAUAUGGUAUUUAUUUGUACAGUCAUUGUAAUAUAUUCCCUUUCCCCCACUUUGAGUCUGGUGUGUUUUGUCUGGAAAAACCCAUCUCACAUUAGGUUGAGAUGUGGGAGGGGGAACGGAGCUAGGGGAUUGGAUUUUGGGGCUAUCUCAAACCAUGACAGCCCCCCACACGCAACAGUUCACUUCCACUGCCUACGUGUGGUUGUGACUGUAGUCAGACUUCUUCAGGAAGGUGUGCACAUAUUCCAUGUGUGAUUUUUGAACUGACAGAGAAUGACUGGGACAGACUUCACUAAAACCUGCUCAUGAGCUGGACACUAAUGUCAUCUGUUCUUUGGAUCAAAGGACUGAUGGCGAAAGUGCACAAUAAUGAAUUAAUAGAGACCUUGGGGGACUCAGAAGUCAAGUGUUUGACAGCAGUGGUCUGCUUUACCUGUUUUUCUGACAGUUUCCUUGUCAGGCCAUAUUACACAGUCACUUCCAAGUCUGAGGGAUGACAAAAUGGAUUAGCAUAUCCAAGAUAGAUGACAUGGAAAACAAACAUCUUUCAUCUGCUAAGUAUUCCCUUUUGGAGCCAUUCCCAUCCUGAUGGCUGCAAGGGCCUGUCAGAGGCCACACGCUUUCUGCUUCUUCCUUCUGCAAAAGGAUCAACAUCCAGUGAUGGCAUCUCAGAGCUGAGACAGGUACGUGCCAGCUGGAGCUCUUAUCCUGGGAUUGUCAUCAGCGCUGGGUUCCUGCCUGUGACCCACAAGCUUUACAGCUGGAGAUAAGCAGCUCGGAAGAGCUCUAGGGCUCACACACCCCCAACCAUGGAGACAUGAAUAACUCAUAAUGCACUACAGUGCAUUAAUCAGCAAAGGUUAUAGAGGCUGUUGGAAUCAGAGGAAGGGUGCUGUAUGGUCUUGAAACAGUCAGUUUGCAUCCAUGCUCCCUCUGAAGUCAGUAGGAGCUGGCUCAUUAUACUGUUAGAUUUUUAUUGUAUUUAUCUUGGAGGAACUCUAAAAAAAUUGGUUUUAGGUAUCCAUCGAUACUGACGUGUGAAAACUCCAUCUUGGAAAAUAGUCACAUUAGUACUAGCCCUGUGGAUUUAUUAUAAGAGCAGAUCCACUCUAUGUCUUGGUGGUGUCUCCCAGACCUGCCCUUUUUACAUUUUUGGGGGGAAAACCUUUCCAGGCACCGGAGAGUCUGCCAGGCUUAAGGAGGACAAUAUUGAGUAGACUAAACCGGUUUCUGCUUUUCAACUGGGAUUGCAUUUCUUCUGUUCCAACAGGUUGAGAUUAGCACUUUGGGUGAGCACCUAAGAGAUGUAUGUUAAAGGAAAGAGUAACCUGGCAAGUAUUCAUAUUUACUCCUUGGAAAAUAUCAGCACAAACUGCAGGGAGUGACUGAGGAAAGGAUCAGCACCACUCCAUCUGCAGAUGGUUCAUCAGGUAGAGGUUUCCCCACCCCAGGCUGGUGUAUUGACUAGAUCAGUCAUGCUGGGACCUGAAUUAGUUCACUGCAAAUCGAUUUCUGUGAAUGAACACAACUGUAAAUGCAGAUGAAGACCCAAACCCACCUACAGGGUCAAAAGAUGAGGCACCAUUAGGAGACAAGCUUGUCUAAAAUGAGAUCAACUGUCAGUGGGGGUGCCACCUCUGUGUGAGGUCUCACACCCUGUGCAAAUGGAGCUCAGACCCUCACCCCUCGUAAUUCAGAGUAGGUCAGCAAGAGCUCAGCACCCACAGAUCUAUUAACAAGUUGGUAGCAGGAGGCUGGCAUGCAUUCAUGCUGGCUAACACAAUCUCUCCACUGACUGGCACCACGUCUCCUGUUUCUGCUGUGACCCAAUGUUUAUUUAGAGCCACAACAUGAGAAAUUUGCUGCAGGGUGCUCAGGACGUUUGUGACACCCAGCUCUGUAUGUCUGAUGCUGGUGUAUUCCCAUGCACUGGCAUCCAUCGGGGUGGAAAUGCAGUGUUUGGGAAAAGGCUGGAUUUGACUCUUCUGUCAUGACCUCACAUCCUACCCCACUGCUGGCACAGUUAUGUCAAUACUGUGUUGUAAAGACAAAGUCAUGAUGUCUAACACUUGCCUGUGAAAAUGCUUCUCAAUACUGCUAUUCACAGCACCUCAGCUGGGAUCGAACACCGCAGAAGAUGCAUUUCACCCACUUGAGCAAUCAGGUUUAUUCCAGCACCAACAGUAAUAGUCAUUUUUCUAGACAGAAUUGACAUUACAAAUGAGUUGUUGGUUAAUUUGCUGCUUUCUUGACAUCAUUGAUCCUACAGCUACAUCCUUAAGCAGCAAUGUCUGAAUAUAAACUACCCAGCAGUAAAAUUAUAACUCCAUUUGGAUGCAGAACACAACCUUCUUAUUGCCAGACUUUCAAUCCCAUCAAGAGUUUCAGGGUUACUCAUGCAAAAAUAGCUUGUCUGCUUGAGUGAGUGUACGAAGGCUGUUCAUCAGCACCAUACACAGAAGUGUAAGUAUUUUACCAUCAUGAGCUGGGGAGCAGUUUAGGAAAAUCUAUCUUUUCAGGGAUAUACAAAUCCAUCUCCCAGGGAACUCCCCGUGGAGCUCAGCCCCAUCUCCCAUCAGCAGUGCUGACUCAGCUUGGUCAGGCCCUCAUCCUGCUCCAGAGAUUCCCUGUUUUUGAUAAGGCCAUCCACCAAAUGUACAUCUAGUUUAGCAAUUUGGGGAGGACAUUAAAAUAGGGCAAGUUUUAAUGCUUGUAGAAGCAGAACCGCCCAGGUGAGCGUGAGGAUGCUGGGCCUCACCUCAAGGGGUUUCUGUCUUUAAAGGAAAAACUGUGUGGUGGAAGCCAAGUGGGACGUGUCCCUGCCCAUGGCAGGGUGGGUGGAACUGGAUGAUCUUUAAGGUCCCUUCCAACCCAAACCAUUCUGUGAUUCUAAGAUUCUGUCUUUCAAAAGCUCUCCUCCAAAAUGUAGGCAGCUGUGUUUGAUUAUAACUGCUGCCUUUCCCAUCCCGACCUUUUGGAAAUGUGACCUGCUCCCAGGCAGCUGUUGGAGGGAGCUACCCUUGACAAAACUUCCAGGCAAGAAAUUAAGGAAAGUGGGUAAAAAGCACAGGAAUAUCCCCCAGAGGGGGAGCAACCAUGCAGAAAACAGGGAACAUGAAUAGUAAAACUGAAUGGUGAGGAACAAACCAGAGCCCGUGUUGUGCACCUUCUGGAGCAGAAAGCAGAGCUAUAGCAGAGUGAUGGCAUAUUUUUCCUUGAAGAGUUUGCCUUGGUCUCCAUGGGAGUGCACAAAGACCUCUGCUCAUCUUGCUGUGACAAGUCACAAAUGGAGGUUAAGAAGAAGAUUAUUAAACUUGGCCACUCGUGUCCACCAGAGGAAUAUAAAACUUUUAAACACAAAUUAUUUGAUGUAAGUAGGACAAUCCAACCUUUAUUCUUUGCCAGGGGCUUGGUUAAAUAAAUGCUUUUCUCUGGGUGAGAAAAAUGAACUUUUUCAGUAAAAUCUGUCUGCCAGAAAUAACUUCCAGCAGACAAGGCACUGAGGGCCAUAGUGAAACAUCCCCAGACACUCAGGAAUAAUUUUUUUUCCUUAUUAAAUCUGCUUUUGAUAUAAACAGCCCCCUCUCUCACCUAUACUUGUGUGUUUUUAUGCACAUCCACACACAGAUAUAGAUAUAUAUAUAUAUAUAUGAAUACAGAACCAUGUAUUCCUGAAACUUAAAGUAGCUUUUAAAUCAUGUGAUGAGAUGUAGAUCCUCAUCUCACAGGCUCAUCCCCAUGGCUGAAAUGUCAGACCUACUCCCACCAGCAUGGAUGCGAAUACUCAACCACACCUGGCUUGGAGCUGGGGCUGGAACCAUCAGAUAGCAAGCAAGGGAUGUAGAGAUUUUGAUCCUAUACAUUUCCAAGUCAGUCUAAGUCAUGUUUCCUUGGGAGCUGAGAAGUGGGGGAAUAAGAUUUCUACUCCGAAGGUACGUGCCCAGAGCACCAGGCCUUUAAUUAUGCAAGGGACUGGAGCCAGCUUCCUCCUGCCUUUUCAGAUAAGUGGUUUCACCAAGAGAUUACAGCCAGCAGAAUUUGGCAUCUGGCUCUGUUGGCACGAAGGGGCUUUUGUUCUUUGCCCACACAGACUCCUGGCAUGGAAAUUUGUGCUUAUCCGAGGAUCCACCCGAGUGGAUCCAGCUGUCAUGUCAGCAGAUUAGUGCCUACAAAAGACCAGCAGCCCUGGGCAGACAUUUAGCAUCUCCCAAAGCCUGUGAGCUGAAUCUACAGAUGCUCAUUUGUCCUCUUCAUCCCAUGUGGGAAAAGCUGGCUCCAGCCCCAUCCCGCUCCAGUCCCUCCGGCUCUGGGAGCUGGAAAAACAGUGAGCAAGCCCUCCUCCUGCCGAGCUGGCUGUGCUGGAGGCUGUUUUACCCAAGCACAAACUGGUUAUGUGUGUGUGAGCGAUACCUGCACCGGGGUGAAUUGCAGAAACCAUCAGAAAUUCAGUGAUCUCACUAAUACCAGCUCAGUAGCCUUGGAAUAACUUUCACUGUCUGAUAAUUCGACACAAACCCAGCCUUGUUUUAAGGAGGAUUCCUCCUUUGCAAUCUCGUAGUGGCUGGGCAGGGCAGCUGGUAACCAAGGCAAGGGAACUUUACACGGGGAGAAGUGGGACAGGGUGGCCUCAAGACUGGGGUAGUUCCUGCUAUCAAACAGUUUCAUAUCAAGAAAUUAGCUGAAAUCAGAUCUAUAAAAGUGUCUUUUAAGUUCCUACGGAUACAGUGAAUUGCUGCACUCACAGAACAUACACAGAAUAUAUCUUGGGAAGCUUUGGGAGAGGUGAACCUUGGUAGUAGAAACUUGGGUGGAGGCUUUGGAAAUUGCCUCAGUGUUGGGUGAAUACUUCUAAUGGAAGUGAAUGCUAAAGCUAAUACAGACUUCAAGGGGAGAAGUUACCCCAAGGGUAAAUCUUGGAGAUAACUGGGAAACUUUCUCUACAUUUCAAUGUUUACAUGGAGGAAAGGCUUCAUAGCUGUGUAUUUACUGUGACUGUACUGAAGGGAGAGUGACAUCUGAAGAAACAUAUGCAGCCUUUCUUCUCCAAAGAGAAAACUGGAUCAAGACAAAAAUGACCUAAAUAAACAUUGGAAGAUCAUAGGAAACUAUUCCUUAGAGGCAGAGAGAAGGAAUAUAUACAUGCAGAUAAGGAUUGUGUGCAAAACUUGAGUAUUGUUCUUUGGGGAAUUUCAGUGCAUCAAAGGAGCCUGAUAUCAGCCCUGGAAUAACAUCAGAAGAAUCGCAUGAGGAGAAGUAGAGGGGCUGAAAGAAAUUUAUCUGGGCACAGGAAGAUACAAUGGACUCUCCAGUGUUAAAUACUGAGGUGGUUUCUGGCUUUUCCAUUUUUCUCACAGGGCUUGAGAGUGCUUCUCUCAGCUCAGAUGCUUGUGAUGAUGGAGAAAUAGAUGAGUAGAGUUUGUGUUGGGGGCAGGAAAUGACAGUAAUUUAUUUGAUCAGUUUAUAUAAUAAAUAUUAUAAUUUAUGGGCUCAGUUUUCUAUUACAAGCUAUGCUUGUAUUUGCUCUGUCCCCAUAUUGGAACAGUUUAUCAGCCCACUGUGACAAAAACCCACAGGAUAAUUUAGAAAGGAAAAAAGCAUCAAAGUAAAUACAAUGAAAUUCAGGAAUACUUCAGCAGUAUGUAUGCUAUGGAGCACUGACCUCAGGAUGCUAUUGAAAAGGCUAUCAUAACACAUCAGUUUUAGGGCAGAAUUUAUUGCUAAGAACAAAGAAAAAUCCAGGACAGAAUUUGCUUGCUCCUGCCCACAUCCCUUUUUCACUGCAGGUAAACCAGACUGCAAGAGGGAAUGUGCAGCUUCUGAAAUUAUUGUAAGCCUUCAAUGAGCAAACUGCUGGGCCUCAUGAGCACCUUCCUGUGUGAAAAUAGUGUAAAAACUAAACACAGCUCCAAGACAGCGCUGGGUUAAAUGCAUCACCCUCAGAGGCACCAGUGUGCUGUCUGUGUGAAUGAAUUGAUGCUACCAGUUACAGAGAGCAAAUGAGCUUUUAAAAAUAGACCUGUGGGCUUGAAUCCAGCUUGGUGGCUUCUCCCCUUUGGGUUGGCUGGAUGCUAAUAGGCAUCAGGUGGUGGCUUGUCAUUGUGUGCUGUCCCCAUCAGUCCAAGAGGGCUUGGAGUAAUCACUGAGCAGGAUUUUCAGCUUCAGGUUCCUCCAGUUCUUGUGCCAGAGUGUGACAGCACUGCUGUUUUCACCUGCUUUGGUUAUACAUCUAUCCCCAUGCAACCCCAUGUGGGCAGAAAGAAACGGCUGCAAUGAAGAAGGACCCAGUCUCCAGCCCUACAGUGCCCUGACCCGUGCAGGUGUCAGAGUAGGGACGGCAGUGGGGAGGAUGCCAAGGAGGAGGAAAACCUUUCCAG